UACUGUUUUGGUGAUUGUAGCUUUGUAGUAUAGUGUGAAGUCAGGAAACCCGAUUCUUCCGCUCCACUUUUCUUUCUCAAGAUUGUUUUGUCUCUUGGGGGUCUUUUGUGUUUCCAUACAAAUUAAAAAUUAUUGUGUUCUAGAAUUAUCUUAAAGAACUAGUGAAAAGGACAUAGAUAAGAAAAUACCAGCAAAUAUGUUAAAAUUAUUUUUAGCCCCUUGUGAGAAAAAGUGAAAUAUCAUCCACAUUCUUUUCUGAGAAUAAAAAAAUUCUGGUUCAAGUAUAUUAAAUAGGUCAAAUAAGAAAAUAUUUUCAGGGAUUAUCAAAAAAACUAUGCAUGCAAAGCAAGAAAAAUAUAACUACAAUAAUUAGUAGGCAUGUUAAUGAUUAAUAAAUCCUAACCUGAUGCACAUAAUGCAAAGAUUUAAAAAUUAUUGCAUGAAAACCCUCAGUGAUGUAAAACUUUGAUUACGUCGAGACUGGAUGCAGGACGUGAGAGAGAGAAGUGGAGAAUGAUGUCAGGCACUUUACCCUGAGAACCUGGACAUACAGAGUUACCAUUAACUGACUAAGGAACAGAGAUAAAGGACAGGUUCUGCUGAUUGAUUAUGUUUGCUUUUGUGUGUUUUUAAGGAGAUUUUAAUUGUUAAUUACCUAAAUUUGAGAUGCUUACUAGAUACCAACUGUCAAAUAAGCAUUUGAGUAUGUGAUUCCAGAAUUCAUCUUUGAAACAUACUGGCAUCAAGAGUGUUUUUAAAUCCCUGAAAACUAGACUAGGACAAAACACAAACUAGUUCAUGAGUUUGAACUGAAAAGAGUUCUGGGCCCGGAACACAGGAAAACCACAUUUUAUGUCACAAAUGAAACUCAGAAUGGGCACCAGGAAGGUGGGAGGGACACAGUGUGAGUGUGGGACUGAGAUCUAGUCGAGGACCUAAAGACUAUGUGUCCUCUACCUGGACAACACGGAUUUCGUAUAAAAAAUGGUAAUGCAAUCUUUGCGUUUUUUCCAUAUCUGCAACAUACAGAAUUUCCCAGCCCUGGGAUCAGACCCGCACCCUCGCAGUGACAACACCAGAUCCUAAAUCCACUGAGACCACCAGAGAACUCCAAUAGUCAAGUUCUAUAAAUAAGUGAGAAAGUGACAAUGCAAAGCAGUAGCAGCAUUUGUUGUGGAGAGGAAAUUCAGAGAAGAAACCUGAAUUUCCAGUGGAUGUGAUGGGAAAGGCUGUCGCCUGUCCUCAUGUGCUGGUCUUGAAGCUGAAGUGUCAGCUCCACAUCUGAUCUCAGCUCUGCUCUGUGAUGCUGGGGCUCCAAUGCCAUCCACCCCAUUUCUACUUUGCCAGCAGGUUUAUUUUCUUUUAGAGUGCUUCCAUGCAAGUCCCAAGAGAUGGGCUAGAAGACUUGAGGAAAUUUUCUGUUUUCCUGACUGGGCUGUGACUGAAAACAGUGACCAUCAAUAGGAAAAGGACAACUAGUGGAUCUUCUAGAUGCUAUUUGUCACCUAUCAGGUUGGCAGAAACUAAGAAGGAGUGAUAAGAUCCUGUUUUGAUCAAUGCGUGGAAACAUAUAUAAACAUAUAUGCUCUCAAAUAUGAUUAAUAUCAUCAUUUUUAUCGUGGACAGUUUGCAGUAUGUAUGUAUUUUGACCAAGAAAUUUUGCUUCAUGACACCUUCUUCAGAGAAAGACUCUCCCUUGGAUAUAAGACACCUGCAUGAUAAUUGUAGCAACUUAUUUUUUAAACUUAGAAAGAGCUAAGAAAAUGUCAACUAGACAGUGUAGGCAAAUGAGAGAAAGAGAAAGGAAAACAGAGCAAGAAGCAGACCAGUGAAAGAGUUUCUUGUUGCACCCACCUCAUGUGGGGCAGAUCUCUUGGCCCCUGUGUGUGUGUCUCUGGAGAAAAGAUCAGAUCUGGAAACCAGAUGUGACUUGUUAUGUGACCCAAGUCAGGACAUUCUUCUCUUCUCAGCCACCAGCUCCCUUUGGGUGAGCGUCGUUGGCCACAGGAGCGUAAGGACGGUCCCUGUCCUGAAGGUCACCUCCUCUGGGUUCUCUAGUCCUGGAUUUGCAUCUAUUUGGUUACUCAUCUUCUCUUAACUUCACGGUGAGAAUCUCGAAUGAAAAGAUGACUGUACAUCUUAUGUAUUAAUUUUGCAAUGAAAAGCAACCAGGUCCCCCAUCACACCACAUGUCACCAGCUUCCCAGGAGGAGGUAGAGAUGGAUUCCCUCAAAGUACCUCUUCACAGCCAUUCCCAGGGCAAAUGUCUGCUCUUCCAUCUCCUGCACCAAGCAGGGGUCCAGGUCUUCCAGCUGCUGAUGGAGUCCAGAGCAGAGCUUGUCCAGGAGGGUGGAGUCCCAGGCAGCAGAGGAGCGCUCCGUGUGGAAGAGGAGGAAGGUCUGCUGGAGCAUCUCGUGGAGGACAGAGAUGGCCUGGGUCUUCUGCAGCUGGCUGCCUUCCACCAUCUCCUGGGGGAACCCGAAGUCUUUUCUGUCCUUCAGACAGAAGGAAGGGGAGAGUCUCCUCAUCUGAUGUAGAAGCACUAGGUUCUUCCUGCCGACAUGCACGUGGUUCUGAGACAGGUCACAGCCCAGAGAUGCCCCAGGGCCAUAGCUGAACACCACCAGGGCCGUCAGUAGAGAGAACACAAAGGCCAUGGGGAAAUGAGGGCGCUGCUGGCCUGGCUGAGAUGGGUGUCUGGGGGGACCUUGGGGGUAGGUUCUCUGAUGCCAUUCUCUCUAAGCAAGGCCAUUAAACAGGGAACACAGUAAUUUUCAUUUUCUAAACAUUUCUCUACACUUUCACGUCUUUUUUGGUUUUCAUUUAUGUAUUCUCGAUAUGGUCCAAGACAACGUCAUAACUGUGAACCAUUAAUUUUGUCGUAGAAGUUUAAUUUCCCCCAGAAACUUCAGAUAUGUCCAUGCAAAUGGAUAUUUAUCAAUCAAAUAAGAAAUGUCUGUCUCAGAGUCAGAAGUGAUGUUGGUGUAUAAACACAUCCUCUUUGUGUGUGUGAAUCCCUUUCCUUCAUAAAUACUGCUCUUCUCCAUUGUAGGAGCAAAUUUCUACCUCUGAUCUUAGGCUCCAUUUUUCCCACCUUCUUUACUUAGGAGACCAAAUCUCUCAGCUCUAUGGUGUCUGUCUGUAUUCACUUAGGGAUUUACAAGACCACCUUUGGAAAUUAACGGCUUUGAAAUGGAAGAGGGGUUUUAUUUACUAUUUGAUUAACAGAAGAGGCCAGUGACUAUGAGUGAAUGAUAUUCUUUUAUGUUUCUCUUGCUUCUAGAACAGAUCCAUGCAGAUCCAUGUGGUUCUGCUUCAGGGGACCAGGAGGUCAGGACAAUUACAGACGUUGUCCUUUCUUUCCACCAUGUUCUUCCUGGGGACUUAUAGUCCUCCACAGCCUGGGCCAAUAUCCCUGACAGGAAUCCUGGUUCUUUUCAGGAGAAUAUGGGUGUGGAGAUUCUAAUUCCAAGAUGAUUGUGUUUUCCCAGCAUCACCUCCCUCACAAGGGGGGUGUCACAUUUAGUAACACCCUGUCCUCUAGAGGGACAGAGCGCCCUUCCUAACCUCCUGGACCCUCUCUGAGGCAGACUCACUACAUCCUGAGGACUUUAAAAUCUCCUCACUGUGGAGGGGCCUAUUUAUUUAUUGGGAAUGUAAUUCAUCCUCCCGGACUCCUGCCUUUGCCCCUAGAGAGUUUGCAUGAAGGACCCUAGUCCUCAGUGGUGACCUCCUCCUCUCCUGACCUGUGUCCUCAGGUAUCAAAGCUGAGCAGCCCUCAGAUGCUGAGAGCAAAUGUUUGUUCUGUAUCCAGCUGUGAGGACUUAUUCAACUGAAAUCAUUUCAGUUUGAGUAGACAAAUAAUUUGUGUUUGUCAAUACAAAUUUUGUUAGUCAGAUCUUUUCUUUAAACAAAUGAACGCUUGUUAUUCUCAAAGUUUCUCAGCUGAAGGUGGGAGAUUCAGUGAUGAAUCUGUCUCUCAUGAGAAGCUUAUGUCACAGAAACUAGUGGUCUUCCAUUGUUCAUUCAUCAGUGGAUCCGGCUGGGUUUCUCUCUUCCUUUGUCUCUUUCUAUCUCUGAGAAUGCAGGGCAGUGUGGCCUGGGCUAUUGCCAAGGGAGAAAUUGUCUUCUUUUCUUUAUUUGUGUGUGAUUAUUCACUUAAAUUUUUUAGAAAUUAUAUUCCCUUUCGGGGGCUUAUAGGGCAAGUUCAAAUUCAUGAUGAGGUAAGAAAAAUAUAGGAAGUAAAGGAAGGCAAAUGGGCUGCAAUUGCUAUCAUUUUCAAGACUUUAGAUAUUUUGUUUCUCAUUGCAACUUUCCUGAAAGUAAAAUUUGACAGUUGCUUUAUGGAAAAGAAAAGCAGUGUAAGUCUGAAUGUCUUGAAUGUGAAAUAUGGAAGUGGUUUUCCACUGACACAAUGACAUAUUCUAAGUUAGCAAACUUCAGUGCUGCACAGAUGGGGACAAGGCAAUGCAGAGGGGAAGGGCGAGGUUCAUAUGAACAACGGGAAGGGACGAACAUGGCUGCUUCAUGGAUGAUCUUGAGGUACCAAUGAAAUACCUGGAGGAGAGUGAGAUGACAAAAGAUGCUUAAUUCCACUUCCGAUGCCAAAAGUGUUGCUGUCUGAUGUUUUAUAGGGCACCACAGGGUAUGGUCUGAGUCAACUAAAGUGACUUUUAAGUUCUAAUGAAAAAUUGACAAAAUCCCUAUUAAGUAGCUAGAAGAGGGUAGAUGUUUCUGCCAAUUGAGACAAAAAAAAAGAACUCAAGAUUUUAUCAGUGAUUUCUUCAAUUGAAUAUAGUAGAAUAACUUUAUUAACCCCCCAACAGCAGGCACCUGGAAUAUAUAUAUUUUUUUAAGUCUUGAUUUUUCUUGUGAUUUUAAGAACAACAAAAACAAAGCACCAAACAUUUUUUGUCCACAUGAGCUCUGACAAUCCUCCUUCAGGAUGACAGCUAAGAAGUCCCUUUCCAUCUGGUUCCACAGGAAUGAAGCCACUGAACUUUAAUACACCCUGAAAGGAGGUUAGGGUGGGGAUCAGGAAGGCGGCACUCUCUGCUCUGGAAAAGUGACAGUGCAGACCUUCAGAUCAUUUUAGGAGAAAAUCUUAUGAAAGCAAUUUCUUGCCUCUUCUCACACCUAG
ensembl:lncRNA